AGCAGAGCACUCCUACGGGAGGGCAAGCGAGUGGGGAAUAUUGGACAAGUGGGGGAACCCUGAUCCAGCCAUGCCGCGUGUGUGAAGAAGGCCUUAUGGUUGUAAAGCACUUUAAGCGAGGAGGAGGCUACUAGUAUUAAUACUACUGGAUAGUGGACGUUACUCGCAGAAUAAGCACCGGCUAACUCUGUGCCAGCAGCCGCGGGUAAUACAGAGGGUGCGAGCGUUAAUCGGAUUUACUGGGCGUAAAGCGUGCGUAGGCGGCCAUUUAAGUCAAAUGUGAAAUCCCCGAGCUUAACUUGGGAAUUGCAUUCGAUACUGGAUGGCUAGAGUAUGGGAGAGGAUGGUAGAAUUCCAGGUGUAGCGGUGAAAUGCGUAGAGAUCUGGAGGAAUACCGAUGGCGAAGGCAGCCAUCUGGCCUAAUACUGACGCUGAGGUACGAAAGCAUGGGGAGCAAACAGGAUUAGAUACCCUGGUAG
rnacentral:rRNA from 1 species